CCUCAGGAUCAUGAUUUCGGUACUUUUUAACAAUUGUUUGUUGUAAUUUUAGGUUGGCUGUAAAGAAGACUGCAGCCAAGGGGAAAGCAGCUAAGGAUCCCAAUAAACCCAAGAGACCCGCUAGCGCCUUCUUUGUGUUCAUGGAGGACUUUAGAAAGCAGUUCAAAGAAGAUCACCCUGGCAACAAAUCUGUUGCUGCUGUUGGUAAAGCUGGUGGGGCAAAAUGGAAGUUAAA